UACGUAGGGGGCAAGCGUUGUCCGGAAUCAUUGGGCGUAAAGAGCGCGUAGGCGGUCCGAUAAGUCUGCUGUGAAAGUCCAGGGCUCAACCCUGGGAUGCCGGUAGAAACUGUCGGGCUAGAGUCCGGAAGAGGUGAGUGGAAUUCCUGGUGUAGCGGUGAAAUGCGCAGAUAUCAGGAGGAACACCAAUGGCGAAGGCAGCUCGCUGGGACGUGACUGACGCUGAGACGCGAAAGCGUGGGGAGCAAACAGGAUUAGAUUCCCGUGUAGU
rnacentral:rRNA from 1 species